UACGUAGGGUGCGAGCGUUGUCCGGAAUUACUGGGCGUAAAGAGCUCGUAGGUGGUUUGUCGCGUUGUCCGUGAAAACUCACAACUCAAUUGUGGGCGUGCGGGCGAUACGGGCAGACUGGAGUACUGCAGGGGAGACUGGAAUUCCUGGUGUAGCGGUGGAAUGCGCAGAUAUCAGGAGGAACACCCGUGGCGAAGGCGGCGCCCUGGGCAGAACCUGACGCUGAGGCGCGAAGGCUAGGGGAGCGAACGGG
rnacentral:rRNA from 1 species